rnacentral:rRNA from 1 species
CCUACGGGGGGCUGCAGUGGGGAAUAUUGGACAAUGGGCGAAAGCCUGAUCCAGCCAUGCCGCGUGUGUGAAGAAGGCCUUCGGGUUGUAAAGCACUUUCAGUGGGGAAGAAAGCCUUGGGGCUAAUACCCUCGAGGAAGGACAUCACCCACAGAAGAAGCACCGGCUAACUCCGUGCCAGCAGCCGCGGUAAUACGGAGGGUGCGAGCGUUAAUCGGAAUUACUGGGCGUAAAGCGCGCGUAGGCGGUCUGAUAAGCCGGUUGUGAAAGCCCCGGGCUCAACCUGGGAACGGCAUCCGGAACUGUCAGGCUAGAGCGCAGGAGAGGAAGGUAGAAUUCCCGGUGUAGCGGUGAAAUGCGUAGAGAUCGGGAGGAAUACCAGUGGCGAAGGCGGCCUUCUGGACUGACACUGACGCUGAGGUGCGAAAGCGUGGGUAGCAAACAGGAUUAGAUACCCCAGUAGUC